UCGCUCGUCUCAGUCUGGCUCAGCCGUCGCGCUACAACGACGCUUGCGAGACGCGCGCUACAAUCGCGAACUUGCGCUCGUUGCACCACUCGUUCGUACGGAGCGCGCGCGGCGAAAAUAGUGAGCUCGUGGCCGGGAGCGGCUGGACCCCGGUGAGAGGACAAGUGUUCAGCGGCGGUAUGUUGCCCGCGCUGUUGGUGCUGGCGCUGGCGGCGCUGGCCCCGGCCGUCGCGCGCCGCCACGCGCCCUACCUGCAUGAGGACGAGCCCGCGCGCCGCACCACUCGACCCGCCGAAUGUCUAUUCGGGAAGCAAGCAAAGGAGCUAGGGUCCAAGUGGUUUGCGGACCUGGGCCCGCCGUUCGGAGUCAUGUACUGCAUCAAAUGUGAGUGUGUACCGGUGCAAAAGAAAAGGCGCGUGGUUGCUAAGGUGUCCUGUCGUAAUAUCAAGAAUGAGUGUCCCGAACCCACUUGCGAUACACCGGAGCUGCAGCCAGGAAGAUGUUGCAAGACUUGCCCAGGCGAUAUUAAUUCGCCCGACAUCGUCCAAGAAGACAGUCCGGUGGUUUACACUGCUGAAGAAGACGAGCACAAUAUGAAGUAUUUCGCUUCGAUUCUGACUGGUCGGUCUCCGCUUUGUGUAAGGCGUGAUGACAUGUCCGGGGUGCCGGUGGGGCCGGGGGUCGCGACGGCCCGGUUCACGUUCCGGCGCCGCCAUCUUUACUGGUCGGUGCUGCUGAGCCCCUCGAUCUCAGCGCAGCCUCGAGCACUUGCCUUUCUCGAUCGCAUAGGCCGAGUGCUACUCGAGCAACCUCUCAAGAAAAUACCAGGCAUUCAUUCAACUUAUGAAGAAAAAACUGAUAAGCUGUGCGGCGUAUGGCGCCGAGUACCUCGUCAAUAUAAAACACUGUUACGAGACGGAGACCUCCACGUGGCUCUGUUGUGGGGAGAUGAUCGCAACAGUACAAUAGACAGCGCUUUGAGCGGCCGAAUCGACAGAUAUCCAGCACUUUCAUCUGAGAUGUUUACUACAUUACUAGAACCUGAACAUCCGCCCACAUCGUUCGGACAGGGAGCUUGCAGAGAUUAUAGAGCGGUAGACCAUGAAGAUGGUUGGUGGGGUGGCACUGCAGUCAUCACCGGAGUCGCAGGCGCAACACCUAGCCUUUACUUAGCCCUUAUGUUUAACGGAGUGUUUCCAAAAACGGCAGCGACAUCACAUCUCGUCAGAGUGGUUCUCACUUUGCCGGAAAAAAACCAGACGAUCAUUGAUCAGGUACAGAGAGUGAACAAGCCAAAUUACGACUUCAACGUCCUUGAAGUGUCAACUCCGGUUUCGGCGGCUGAGUUACGUUCUCUUGCUAGGGGACGGUUACUCCUUACUGUGGAAGCUGUAGAUACACCAGAACGGCGUCUGGUGGGAAGUGUGAGACAGAAAGCAGCUUGCGAGGUUUAUCAUGCACCGCUGGUGUCAGAAAGAGCUCCGGCUUCACCGGCACCGGAAGGACUUGCCUUGAUCUACAUUGAUAAAGAGGGCUCGCUUGUCUAUGAUAUACAGAUGGAUAACCUGAGUGUGAACGAUCCGAAGAUAACAUUAGUGGAGGAGCAAGGCAAGCGGCAUUCACAAGUGGAGAUACUGGACACUCGUAUCGGUGUGCUAGCGCGGCCUAGUGCUCGGAUUUUCCAACCACUCUAUGAAGAUACUCUAGCUGUUCAUGUUAGUGGGGAUGCAGGACCUCCUAUACUUCGCGGUCGGCUGACGUCCCGUUUGAUGCCUGAUGCUGCAGGUUCUGGACCUGCAUUGUUACGCAGAACUUCUCAAGUUCGAGUGCCUAUGACUAUGGCAGGACUCGCUUGGCUCUCAGUGGAUUCUUUAUGUGGCUUGUAUUACGAGGCGGUGGUAACGGGUGGUAACUCUCGAACCAAGUCCUCCUGGUGGUUAGAGACGCACGCAGGCGGGGAAGGCAAUGCGCGUGAACUAGGCGCUGAUGAAGGUUGGAUACUGGAGCCUACAGCGGCAGAGCUGGUCGCUCUACACGUUGGCGCUGCUUAUCUGGAAUUACGAUCCCAUGAUAAUGUCACGGCACUACUGCGCACGCGCGUACCACAAAUAAGCGUGCCACCAUCAUGCUUACCUGCGGUCCCGGGGACCACAGACAACGAGCUAAGUGCCAAGUACACGCCAGGACCUUUGGAAGACCAGUUAUCUGACGCGCUGUACCGCCUCAGCGUGGGCUACUGUAAACAGGGCGAGAAGUUUUACAAGCUAGGAGAAAUUUGGACUGAUACUGAGUCAUGCUCCAAGUGCUCUUGCGUGCUUGGUAUGCCACGAUGUGAGCCGGUGCAGUGUCCCCAAGUCACUUGUCUCGUGCCUACGAUACAGCCACCUGGACAAUGCUGCCCAAUAUGCACUAAUUCAACAUCAGCAAAAUGGACAGAAGAAGGCAGUUGCACGCUGGCGGGACAGACUUACGCACCAGGAUCGUCAUGGCAUCCGUACUUAGUACCAGGAGGAUACGACACCUGUGCGAUAUGCACGUGUAACUUUGCCACUAAGCAGAUCCAGUGCCCACGAGUCCAGUGUCCGCCCUUACGCUGCAGUGAGAAGGAAGCGUACAGACCGGAUAAGAAAGCCUGUUGCCGAGUUUGUCCUGAGGCCAAAGCCAAAAAACCUGACGAAGAGACACCUAAAGAUCAGGGAACACCUAGAACAGCUGAAGAAAUUCUGGCGGAAGGUGGAUGUAAAUUCCCUGACGGACCGCUACCAAAUGGAAAAGAAGUCCAUCCUUCGAUACAUUCGCACGGAGAACAGAGAUGUGUCACUUGCAGAUGCAAGGACGGUGAAGUAACAUGUGUCCGAAAGCGGUGCGGGCGCGCUGCGUGCUCGCGGCGGCGACGCGUGGACGCGUGCUGCGUGUGUACGCGACACCGACGGCAGCGCGCGCCGCGUCCUGACCGCGCGCAGCGCACGGAACGCUCGGAACGCUCAGAACGCCUAGUGCGUUUAGAUCGCUUACAGCGCUCUGACCGCUUGGCCCCGCCGCCUCCGAGCUGAGCGCGCCGCGGUUGAGUGCAUGCACUCGCCGGACACAGUAUUACUGCGCCCGACCAUCCCGUCUUCACCCCAGACUGCUCGUAGGCUAAGUGAGUGAGCGCUCCGCUCCCUAGACUGACGAUUAUUUUUAUGUACGCGUGCGAUACGAAAGUGUCUCUAGUUUUAGGUUGCGUCGUCGGAACACGCGCCACUGGACAGGACCACAUUUGCGGGUGAUACAUUUGUGGCAAACUUAUUGUCACCUGGUUCGGUAUAAUGCGUACGUUUGACUAAAAUGUUGAGAACAAGUUGUGUGGUAGAUUUUCCAUCUCUGGUGUUGGGGAUUUGCCGUUGUAGUUAGAGCGUGUAGUUCUGUUCGGUAGCGUUGUGAGACGAACGUAUCGAUACAGUAGGCGGUAGGACGGUCGGCCGCGCAACGGCUCUGAGUCGAUCGAUGACGGAAGUAGCUAUACUGUGUAUUAAUAAACUUUGAAUAUAUACUUACCCACCGGUAUUUAAUUGGUAUUAUGAGAUAUCCCGAAAUUUUAUAGGCGCAUUGCAUUUUCAUCCGAUACUGAUUUGUUUUUAGUAUUUAUUAGUCGUGUAAGGUUCGAUCGCUCGGUGAGAUAUCUUUAGAGGUGCGAGCGCGGUCGAUGAAAGAUGUGCCAUAUUUUCUUAAUUGUAAAUAUAAAUUAUGAUACUACUUAUGUGCAUAUUUAUUUACAUGUUUAUUGUAUAUGAUACGAGGUAAUCCCGCGUAUACACGGUCGCGUACGAUACAUCACAAACAUUCAUGUACUGUUCGCCAUGUUUGUGCAUUUGCUUUAGUUUUGUAUAAACAUACUUAGUGGCUUGCACGUGUUAUUAAUGUGCAUGUGUAAUGAUUCGAUAGUGCUUAUUUCCUAUGUUAAUUUAUAUGCAUAGUCAAUAAUUGUGUAGAAUCUGUAUUGGCUUCAGAUAUGAGUCUGUAGAGAGAAAUAUGUUACAUUGUAUGUAAUCUUACUUAUAUGUACGUGAAAACUAAUAUCUCGAGUAACUUAUGUUUGUGGUUAUGCUAUCAGGGUGUCAACACGAUACUCUUAAUUAAUCUGUAAAUAUUAACGUAUGUUUUAAAAUGUUAUGCUUUACACAAGUAAUAUAAACGGACUGUACGAUAAAUAUAUUAUAAUACAUUAUAAUAAGGCGUAGAUUUUAAUAAAUUUUCGUGACUAGUUUUGAUUAAUUACUAGUUUAACGGUUUAGUUACGUAAUUAAGGAAGCUAGUCCAAAUGUUUUGAUGUGAUGGAAAUGAAUGCCAUGUAACUAGCGAUACUUCUGUCUUGAUUACUGAUAUAAGAUUUAUGUACUGUAAGUGGCGGCCUCACGCGGUGUGGAAAGCGAAUUAGGUAUUUGUUAGAGACGGUGAGACGCCCGGGUAUUGCGCGGGCGCUACUGGGCGUUUACAGGACUGACUGAAGUAAAACGCCAAAGUUUUAAAAUUCAUGUAGAGGUGAGGCUUGGCAUAUUUAAUCGUGAUUUCGCGACUUAAAAGGAUUUGACGGUUUCGUGGGACAUUGCCAAAAAUAUAUUUUGUGAAUGGAAUUUCUCUUUUCGUUGUGGAUUCUAGUCCAUCAAAA
rnacentral:misc_RNA from 1 species